CCUGCAGAAGGAUCAUU
rnacentral:rRNA from 1 species